GGGGGAUUAGUGGCGAACGGGUGAGUAACACGUGAGUAACCUGCCCUUGACUCUGGGAUAAGCCUGGGAAACUGGGUCUAAUACUGGAUACGACCUUCUGGCGCAUGCCAUGUUGGUGGAAAGCUUUUGUGGUUUUGGAUGGACUCGCGGCCUAUCAGCUUGUUGGUGGGGUAAUGGCCUACCAAGGCGACGACGGGUAGCCGGCCUGAGAGGGUGGACGGCCACACUGGGACUGAGACACGGCCCAGACUCCUACGGGAGGCAGCAGUGGGGAAUAUUGCACAAUGGGCGCAAGCCUGAUGCAGCGACGCCGCGUGAGGGAUGAAGGCCUUCGGGUUGUAAACCUCUUUCAGUAGGGAAGAAGCGAAAGUGACGGUACCUGCAGAAGAAGCGCCGGCUAACUACGUGCCAGCAGCCGCGGUAAUACGUAGGGCGCAAGCGUUAUCCGGAAUUAUUGGGCGUAAAGAGCUCGUAGGCGGUUUGUCGCGUCUGCCGUGAAAGUCCGGGGCUUAACUCCGGAUCUGCGGUGGGUACGGGCAGACUUGAGUGAUGUAGGGGAGACUGGAAUUCCUGGUGUAGCGGUGAAAUGCGCAGAUAUCAGGAGGAACACCGAUGGCGAAGGCAGGUCUCUGGGCAUUAACUGACGCUGAGGAGCGAAAGCAUGGGGAGCGAACAGGAUUAGAUACCCUGGU
rnacentral:rRNA from 1 species